rnacentral:rRNA from 1 species
UUGGUGUUACUGCGAAGGGGGGACGGAGAAGGCUAUGUUGGCCGGGCGACGGUUGUCCCGGUUUAAGCGUGUAGGCUGGUUUUCCAGGCAAAUCCGGAAAAUCAAGGCUGAGGCGUGAUGACGAGGCACUACGGUGCUGAAGCAACAAAUGCCCUGCUUCCAGGAAAAGCCUCUAAGCAUCAGGUAACAUCAAAUCGUACCCCAAACCGACACAGGUGGUCAGGUAGAGAAUACCAAGGCGCUUGAGAGAACUCGGGUGAAGGAACUAGGCAAAAUGGUGCCGUAACUUCGGGAGAAGGCACGCUGAUAUGUAGGUGAAGUCCCUCGCGGAUGGAGCUGAAAUCAGUCGAAGAUACCAGCUGGCUGCAACUGUUUAUUAAAAACACAGCACUGUGCAAACACGAAAGUGGACGUAUACGGUGUGACGCCUGCCCGGUGCCGGAAGGUUAAUUGAUGGGGUCAGCGCAAGCGAAGCUCUUGAUCGAAGCCCCGGUAAACGGCGGCCGUAACUAUAACGGUCCUAAGGUAGCGAAAUUCCUUGUCGGGUAAGUUCCGACCUGCACGAAUGGCGUAAUGAUGGCCAGGCUGUCUCCACCCGAGACUCAGUGAAAUUGAACUCGCUGUGAAGAUGCAGUGUACCCGCGGCAAGACGGAAAGACCCCGUGAACCUUUACUAUAGCUUGACACUGAACAUUGAGCCUUGAUGUGUAGGAUAGGUGGGAGGCUUUGAAGUGUGGACGCCAGUCUGCAUGGAGCCGACCUUGAAAUACCACCCUUUAAUGUUUGAUGUUCUAACGUGGACCCGUGAUCCGGGUUGCGGACAGUGUCUGGUGGGUAGUUUGACUGGGGCGGUCUCCUCCUAAAGAGUAACGGAGGAGCACGAAGGUUGGCUAAUCCUGGUCGGACAUCAGGAGGUUAGUGCAAUGGCAUAAGCCAGCUUGACUGCGAGCGUGACGGCGCGAGCAGGUGCGAAAGCAGGUCAUAGUGAUCCGGUGGUUCUGAAUGGAAGGGCCAUCGCUCAACGGAUAAAAGGUACUCCGGGGAUAACAGGCUGAUACCGCCCAAGAGUUCAUAUCGACGGCGGUGUUUGGCACCUCGAUGUCGGCUCAUCACAUCCUGGGGCUGAAGUAGGUCCCAAGGGUAUGGCUGUUCGCCAUUUAAAGUGGUACGCGAGCUGGGUUUAGAACGUCGUGAGACAGUUCGGUCCCUAUCUGCCGUGGGCGCUGGAGAACUGAGGGGGGCUGCUCCUAGUACGAGAGGACCGGAGUGGACGCAUCACUGGUGUUCG